UGAAUCUUGGUGGGGAAAUUUCACCUGCAAUAGGGAAGCUUCAGAGCUUGGUCUCUAUGUAAUUGUUACUCUCCUUCGCCCUUUUUUUGGUGCAGUAAUGUAGUUGAGGCAUUUGUAUUGUCUUGCUUAUGCAUUUUUCCUCUUUUUUAUUUAGUGACUCGAGAGAGAACAAGUUAUCGGGGUAGAUGCCAGAUGAGAUUGGUGACUUUUCUUCAUUGAAGAACUUGGACUUGUCAUUUAAUGAAAUUAGAGGGGAUAUCCCGUUUUCUAUUUCUAAGUUGAAACAACUAGAGAAUCUGUGAGUAUUUUAUGGCAUUUCCUUUCAAAUGAAUUUUUUUUAUUUUGGGAAGAGGUUAUGACAGGUUUUCGAUUUUAAGUAAAUUAUAUCUCAGGAUUUUAAAGAACAACCAGUUCAUUGGACCAAUUCCUUCAACUUUGUCUCAGAUUCCUAAUUUGAAGAUUUUAGACCUGGCUCAAAAUAAUCUCGGUGGUAAAAUACCAAGGCUUAUAUACUACAACAAAGAUUUGUAGUAUUUGUGAGUAUACACAAUUUGCAAAUGAAAUUGUUAUUUCAUAAACUUAGUGUUGACUUUAUUUUUCCUUCCUUCCUUAUCCAUUUAAUAGGGGUUAGAGAG